rnacentral:tRNA from 1 species
CGCGGGGUGGAGCAGUCUGGUAGCUCGUCGGGCUCAUAACCCGAAGGUCGCACGUUCAAAUCGUGCCCCCGCAACCA